AUGAAACUCUAGUAUUUAUAGGCUAAUAUUGGUAGCUUAGUGGGCUUUUGAGAGAGGUCCAAGUCUGAGAUUUUUUUAUUUAUUUAUUUAUUUAAUCAUUUUUUAUUUUUUAUUUUUCGUUUUUUUUCAUUUUUUUUUUUAAAUAAAGUUUCUUGGAUCUGAUUGACAUGAUGAAAUGCAAUAUGAAAUGUUAAAUGACCUAAAAAUGAAUGCAUGAAUGAGGAGGGCAAAUUUUGGGGUGUUACAGCUGCCCCUAUUCAGUCAUCAACUAACCCGAGCAGGAUGAAAGCGAACAGCUUAUCA
rnacentral:lncRNA from 1 species